ACACAAUGAGGGAGCACGAUACUGUAAAACUUUUUAUUCUGGCAUUUUGCCUUCAGCUGUUGGUCAUAGCCACGAGUCAAAAACCACCAUAUAAUGUGAACUUAUGCACUAUUCCGGUAGUUCUCGUCCCAAGGCGCACCAUAUGCCAACCGUUAAGGAAAGUUUGGGUAUUGCGAAAAAAUAAAUGUAUAAUGGCUUUCCAAUGCAUUACGGGCCUUACGGAAGCCGAAUGUAAGAAACAGUGCUUGGAGAAAUCAAACACAUAAAAGCAUAAUCAGACAUAUACUUGUAUAAAAAUAUAAAAAUAAGGUUUCUUAAUACUUAUAUUUAUAUUUAUUAAAGAAAUGUAUGUCAUUAUUUGCCUGUAGGUUUCCGUAUCUAACUCUUAAAAAUAUGCAUUAAAAUAGCGAAUCAAACACAA